UUGGCCGUGGGGGUACACCCGGUCCCAUCUCGAACCCGGUCGUUAAGCCCACGUGCGCCGAUGGUACUUGGAGCGUAGGCUCCUGGGAGAGUAGGUCGUCGCCAACC
rnacentral:rRNA from 1 species